GAUGAACGCUGGCGGCGUGCCUAACACAUGCAAGUCGAACGAAGCACCUUUUAAGAUUCUUCGGAUGAUUGAUUGGUGACUGAGUGGCGGACGGGUGAGUAACGCGUGGGUAACCUGCGCUGUACAGGGGGAUAACAGUUGGAAACGGCUGCUAAUACCGCAUAAGCGCACGAGAGGACAUCCUCUUGUGUGAAAAACUCCGGUGGUACAGGAUGGGCCCGCGUCUGCUUAGCUGUUGGUAGGGUAACGGCCUACCAAGGCGACGAUCAGUAGCCGGUCUGUGAGGAUGAACGGCCACAUUGGAACUGGGACACGGUCCAAACUCCUACGGGAGGCAGCAGUGGGGAAUAUUGCACAAUGGGGGAAACCCUGAUGCAGCAACGCCGCGUGAGUGAGGAAGUAUUUCGGUAUGUAAAGCUCUAUCAGCAGGGAAGAUAAUGACGGUACCUGACUAAGAAGCUCCGGCUAAAUACGUGCCAGCCGCCGCGGUAA
rnacentral:rRNA from 1 species